rnacentral:rRNA from 1 species
ACGUAGGUGGCAAGCGUUGUCCGGAAUUACUGGGCGUAAAGCGCGUGUAGACGGUCAUGAAAGCGUUGAUGUAAAAGGUAAGGGCUCAACCCUUACAGGCAGGACGAACUGCAUGACUUGAGUGCAGGAGAGGCAAGUGGAAUUCCCAGUGUAGCAGUGAAAUGCGUAGAGAUUGGGAGGAACACCAGUGGCGAAGGCGACUUGCUGGACUGUAACUGACGUUGAGACGCGAAAGCCAGGGGAGCAAACGG